rnacentral:tRNA from 1 species
UCUCUUGUGGUGUAGCGGUUAUCAUAUGGGACUUUGAAUCCCGGGAUGGAGGUUCGACUCCUCCCAAGAGAAACA